rnacentral:rRNA from 1 species
GCAGGCUGCAACUCGCCUGCAUGAAGUUGGAAUUGCUAGUAAUCGCGAAUCAGAAUGUCGCGGUGAAUACGUUCCCGGGCCUUGUACACACCGCCCGUCACACCAUGAGAGUCGAUAACACCCGAAGCCUGUGAGCUAACCGCAAGGAGGCAGCAGUCGAAGGUGGGGUUGAUGAUUGGGGUGAAGUCGUAACAAGGUAGC